rnacentral:rRNA from 1 species
CUCAAAUGAAUUGACGGGGGCCCGCACAAGCGGUGGAGCAUGUGGUUUAAUUCGAUGCAACGCGAAGAACCUUACCUGGUCUUGACAUCCACAGAACUUUCCAGAGAUGGAUUGGUGCCUUCGGGAACUGUGAGACAGGUGCUGCAUGGCUGUCGUCAGCUCGUGUUGUGAAAUGUUGGGUUAAGUCCCGCAACGAGCGC